UAACGCGUGAGUAACCUGCCUCUAAGAGGGGAAUAACAUUCUGAAAAGAGUGCUAAUACCGCAUAACAUAUAUUUAUCGCAUGGUAGAUAUAUCAAAGAUUUAUCGCUUAGAGAUGGACUCGCGUCCGAUUAGUUAGUUGGUGAGGUAACGGCUCACCAAGACUGCGAUCGGUAGCCGGACUGAGAGGUUGAACGGCCACAUUGGGACUGAGACACGGCCCAG
rnacentral:rRNA from 1 species